AACGUAGGAGACGAACGUUAUCCGGAGUUACUGGGCGUAAAGGGCGUGUAGGCGGUUUGUUAAGUCUGGCGUGAAAGCUCUCGGCUAAACCGGGAGAGGUCGUUGGAUACUGGCGAACUAGAGGAUGGUAGAGGCGUGUGGAAUUCCGGGUGUAGUGGUGAAAUGCGUAGAGAUCCGGAGGAACACCAGUGGCGAAGGCGACUACCUGGACCAGCACUGACACUGAGGCACGAAAGCGUGGGAGCGAACGGG
rnacentral:rRNA from 1 species